rnacentral:rRNA from 1 species
GAUGAACGCUGGCGGCGUGCCUAAUACAUGCGAGUCGAGCGAACAGAUGAGGAGCUUGCUCCUCUGACGUUAGCGGCGGACGGGUGAGUAACACGUGGAUAACCUACCUAUAAGACUGGGAUAACUUCGGGAAACCGGAGCUAAUACCGGAUAAUAUAUUGAACCGCAUGGUUCAAUAGUGAAAGACGGUUUUGCUGUCACUUAUAGAUGGAUCCGCGCCGCAUUAGCUAGUUGGUAAGGUAACGGCUUACCAAGGCGACGAUGCGUAGCCGACCUGAGAGGGUGAUCGGCCACACUGGAACUGAGACACGGUCCAGACUCCUACGGGAGGCAGCAGUAGGGAAUCUUCCGCAAUGGGCGAAAGCUUGACGGAGCAACGCCGCGUGAGUGAUGAAGGUCUUCGGAUCGUAAAACUCUGUUAUUAGGGAAGAACAAAUGUGUAAGUAACUAUGCACGCCUUGACGGUACCUAAUCAGAAAGCCACGGCUAACUACGUG